rnacentral:rRNA from 1 species
CCUACGGGAGGCAGCAGUGGGGAAUAUUGCACAAUGGGCGAAAGCCUGAUGCAGCAACGCCGCGUGAGCGAUGAAGGCCUUCGGGGUGUAAAGCUCUGUCCUCAAGGAAGAUAAUGAAGGUACUUGAGGCGGAAGCCCCGGCUAACUACGUGCCAGCAGCCGCGGUAAUGCGCAGGGGGCUAGUGUUAUCCGGAUUUACUGGGCGUAAAGGGGGCGUGGUUGGUUUCUUAAGUCAGAGGUGAAAGGCUACGGCUCAACCGUAGUAAGCCUUUGAAACUGGGGAACUUGAGUGCAGGAGAGGAGAGUGGAAUUCCUAGUGUAGCGGUGAAAUGCGUAGAUAUUAGGAGGAACACCAGUUGCGAAGGCGGCUCUCUGGACUGUAACUGACACUGAGGCACGAAAGCGUGGGGAGCAAACAGGAUUAGAUACCCGGGUAGUC